rnacentral:sRNA from 1 species
GCAAAUCGACCUGAACAGUUUAUGUAUAUGUGAAUAUCUAUAAAUUGAAAAAUAUGCCUCCCCGGUAUAUGACAGGUA